rnacentral:tRNA from 1 species
GGGACCUUAGCUCAGUUGGUAGAGCAGCGGACUUUUAAUCCGUUUGUCGCGGGUUCGACCCCCGCAGGUCCCACCA